rnacentral:rRNA from 1 species
CGAUGAAGGACGUUACUAACGACGAUAUGCUUUGGGUAGCUGUAAGUAAGCGUUGAUCCAGAGAUUUCCGAAUGGGGGAACCCAGCAUGAGUUAUGUCAUGUUAUCGACAUGUGAAUUCAUAGCAUGUCAGAAGGCAGACCCGGAGAACUGAAACAUCUUAGUACCCGGAGGAAGAGAAAGAAAAAUCGAUUCCCUGAGUAGCGGCGAGCGAAACGGGAAGAGCCCAAACCAACAAGCUUGCUUGUUGGGGUUGUAGGACACUCUAUACGGAGUUACAAAAGAACAUGUUAGACGAAUCAUCUGGAAAGAUGAAUCAAAGAAGGUAAUAAUCCUGUAGUCGAAAACAUAUUCUCUCUUGAGUGGAUCCUGAGUACGACGGAGCACGUGAAAUUCCGUCGGAAUCUGGGAGGACCAUCUCCUAAGGCUAAAUACUCUCUAGUGACCGAUAGUGAACCAGUACCGUGAGGGAAAGGUGAAAAGUACCCCGGAAGGGGAGUGAAAGAGAACUUGAAACCGUGUGCUUACAAGUAGUCAGAGCCCGUUAAUGGGUGAUGGCGUGCCUUUUGUAGAAUGAACCGGCGAGUUACGAUCUGAUGCAAGGUUAAGCAGCAAAUGUGGAGCCGCAGCGAAAGCGAGUCUGAAUAGGGCGUUGAGUAUUUGGUCGUAGACCCGAAACCAGGUGAUCUACCCUUGGUCAGGUUGAAGUUCAGGUAACACUGAAUGGAGGACCGAACCGACUUACGUUGAAAAGUGAGCGGAUGAACUGAGGGUAGCGGAGAAAUUCCAAUCGAACUUGGAGAUAGCUGGUUCUCUCCGAAAUAGCUUUAGGGCUAGCCUCAAGUGAUGAUUAUUGG